rnacentral:rRNA from 1 species
AACGAACGCUGGCGGCAGGCUUAACACAUGCAAGUCGAACGCCCCGCAAGGGGAGUGGCAGACGGGUGAGUAACGCGUGGGAAUCUACCCAUCUCUACGGAAUAACUCAGGGAAACUUGUGCUAAUACCGUAUACGCCCUUCGGGGGAAAGAUUUAUCGGAGAUGGAUGAGCCCGCGUUGGAUUAGCUAGUUGGUGGGGUAAAGGCCUACCAAGGCGACGAUCCAUAGCUGGUCUGAGAGGAUGAUCAGCCACAUUGGGACUGAGACACGGCCCAAACUCCUACGGGAGGCAGCAGUGGGGAAUAUUGGACAAUGGGCGCAAGCCUGAUCCAGCCAUGCCGCGUGAGUGAUGAAGGCCCCAGGGUUGUAAAGCUCUUUCACCGAUGAAGAUAAUGACUGUAGUCGGAGAAGAAGCCCCGGCUAACUUCGUGCCAGCCGCCGCGGUAAAAC